rnacentral:lncRNA from 1 species
GCGGUCGACAUACCUUUGCAUCUUUUGCAAGUGCACGGUAAGAGAUUCUCCAUGACCCAUCUUCGCGGAAAUCAUGUUAGUGAAAAUCUCGUACCUCUCUUGUCUCGCGUUUUGGUGGUACCUCUCCAAUAAGUCUUGGUGCAUCUCGUACGGGUACAUGUCCUCGUAGGACUUUUGGAAUUCGGAGUUCAUGGUGGCAAUCAUGAUGCAAUGUACCUUCGUUGCAUCUCGCUCAUGAGUCUCAAAAGCGGUGAUUUCGGCCGGAGUAGCGAUUUCGGGGUUGAUUUUCUCGAGCUUCUCAUCGAGGACAUACUCCUUAUCCUCAUAGCGAGCAAUGGUGCGAAUGUAUCUUAUCCAUUCGCUAAAGUUCGUUCCAUCGAAGGUGACCUUUUGGCAAAGGCUCAUCAACGUGAAAGAACUAGCAGCAGCGUUGUUUGCGUUCGACAUCUACAAUUAGAAAAGGACAAAGAUAGAUUAGAAUAAGAAUCCCUAAUUAUCACCCAAUAAGAAAAUUAGGGCUAGGAUCCAACAAUAACAUUUACAUACUAGAAAAGGGAUGCCGUAAUCUAACAUGCAAAUAAAUUGAAGGUAAGUGAAUGACGAUUCACUAAUUCUCCAUCACAAAACUUAAACUAUUAGUCCUAAGUGUUUUUGAGAAUUCCUAGGUUCGGAUGAGAUUCAUUGAAACUAUUCAAUGGCAUGUUUAAAUCUCGAUAUGCCCCUCUUGUUUGUGACUGGGAUGCCGAGGAUCACAAAGCGGGUGUGAAUUACCAUGCAAAUUCACAUGGUGCCUUCAUUGUAACGAUCACCUAUUCGAUGUGCCGGUAAACCACACACGCUCCAUCGAACUAUGAUAAACAAUGAAUCACCCUUUGCCACCUUCGCUUAGAACCAAUUAGUGUGCCGGUAAACCACACACGCUCCACUAACAUCUUAGCAAGGUGCAAAGUGUAAUUUCAUGGGAUUGCAUCAAUUCACUUUUCCUAAAGUAACUAGGAUUGGGAAAUUUUAAAAUAUGUGUAGUUACUUUGUAUUUCUUAUUAUACUUUUAAUGAGAGGAUGAGGUUGCCCUAUCCUACCCGUUCGGCUAACGACCCUCCACCAAUCAAGCAAGCGGUGGGUGUGAGUGUACACCCAUUAAGCGCCAUUUUAUAGGCCGCAACCUUAUACCCACCUUAUAGAUCGGCUUCGUGAAUGAGGCCUACUAACGGUAAGACUAGCAUUUAGUUAUACAUAUAUAUAUUAUUCUAGUAAUAUCAUAUUAGUAUAGGGUUGUAUUUUAAAACUUUUAAAAUCUAGGGUUUGAAAUUUAAGUUGUCUAAAUUAAAACUUUUAAUCACAAAAGUAAAUUUCAAAACAUGAGGGUAGGUUUUAAACAUUUAAAACAUGGAGGAUCAAAUAACAAAUAAUUCCAAUUAACAAUUAAUAUCCUAAUUAUCUAUAUUUGAUUUAUUCAAGAUUUCUUUUUAAGAUAAUUACCAAAAUAAUUAAAAUAAUUAAUUAAUUAUCAUAUAAGGAAAUUAAAUAUUUAAUUAGUUGAUAAUUACCUUUAACUAGAUCAAGAUAAUAGUUAUAUUUAUCAGAAAAACGAAUUAAUGUUGAUCUAAUUAGUUUAUGGUAAGUUAAGAUAAGAUAAACACAAAGAAAUCCCGAAUCUGGCCAUUCCUGACGCCUGGACUCGCCGAGUGCACAAAUGGACUCGCCGAGUCAGGCCUACUCGCCGAGUCCACUUUGGGACUCGCCGAGUCCAUGACUCAGAAACCAAAAAAUCGAAUUUUGCAGGUUUGUUUCAGUUAAUCAAGCAACAAUUUAAAGAAAACCAAGCUAGGCUCUGAUACCACUGAUGGGUUUUAGCCAUAAGAACUUUCCUAUGUGCGCAUGCAAAACCCUAAUGCUUGGAUCUAGGCUUUCUAAUAAACAUGCAUUGAAUCCAAGUCUUCUAAUGACUAAUUAGGUUAAAUAACAACAUUGAAACAGAUCUAGAAUCAUACCUUUGAGUUCCUUGUUGAUCUUGAGGUCUUGGAGCUUCUAGAGUCACAAGUGUCACUCCUCUAAUGGCUUACAAACACCAAUAGCAAUAAGAAUGAUUUAGGAGAGAGGAGAGGGGAGGAAUUCGACCAGAGUUCUCUUGCUUUUUCAGAAGUGUCGAAUUCCCUAUGCCAUGGGGUCUAUUUAUACUUGUAGACUCCUUAAGGAUUACAGAUAAGUCCCUAUCAGAUAAUCUUCUCUUAAGGCUAUCCAAAUCCAUUCCUAGAUAACUCUAAUGGACGAUUUUAGCUAUCCUAAUCCUCUUAGAAUUCGUCCAUAGCAUAUCCAAAUGGAUUUACAGUCUAAAGCUUAACUAUCAAACAAUUGACAGUUUAUACCCCUUUAUUUAAUUAAUCUCUUUAAGUCACCAAAUUAAUUCUAAUUAAUUCUAUGACUUAUAUUAAUCAAAUAACAAAUAUAUUAUUCAUUAUAUUAUUCUCAUAAUAUAUUAAUAAUAUUUACUCUCUCUUAAUAAAUCAUCCUAUCAAGUUGCUAUGGUGAAGGCAACCCAAAAGGACCAUGCACAACCGGAUCAAAUACUUGCCUAAUAUAGUUACAGCCUUAGACACUAUUCCAACAGUCUCCCACUUGGAUAAGUCUAGUAACUAUACAAGUACAAUUCGGUUUGCAAUCGUAGCUCUCAAAGACGCUGUCAACUCUGAUCUAAUCAAUCUUGUCCUUUAGAUAAGGGAACGUACAGUCCUCUGUUAGAUAUCAUGCUGACAAUCCUAUGGAAUGGUUAGUCAAGCAUUUAGGUUUCUCGAUCUCUGAUUUAUUUGACAUAGAACUUAAUCGAACACAUCAAUUCAGUUCUGACCGGGCCCGGCACAUAAGUCAAAUCAAAUCAUCGAGCGGCCGAGAUAUCGCUUUUACCUUCUUAGAUAAAAGUUACAGAUAAACUUCGACUUAUAUGCAUUUACUUAUUCAUUUACCAACUAUACACAACAAUACGUUUUAUAACACCAAGUUACUGAUGCGUUUUCGUAUUAUCAAUGUACAAUCAAUUAACAAAUAAUAAACCAUAUAUCUAGGUUUUAAGACUAUAUGAUAUUAUCGUCUUGCGAUCACCUUUUAUAUCGUAUUCCAUAAGGUGAUUCCAGCAAGCGCGGGUUUAUUCCAAUGCUCAAAACUAGUUCAUAAGCACUCAUGAACGUUGCAGCAAUCCUUUGCUAUGUCUAACACCAUUUAGACAUUCUACACACCAAUUCAUGACAAUCUUCAUUCAUAUCUACUCCCAACAUAUGAACGAUUGUGGACCAUUUGAACAAUUCGAUUAUUCCUAAUAAACUCAAUUAUUCUGGAAGUCAAAACAUGCAAAGUGAAACAAUAGCUAAACAAUUAACAUAAGAUAGUAACAUUACUCAUAAAUAAAACUCCUUUAUUUAAUCAUCAAAUGUUAAUUACAUUUAUCUAUUACACGUUUCUAAUACUAUCUAAUCUAUGCUAAUAUCAUCCUUCAGCCCAAUACUCCUAGCAUGCUGCAAGUGCUUAACCCUACUCAGUCCCUUCGUAAGCGGAUCUGCUGGGUUAUCUUCUGAUGAUAUCCUCUUCACUACGAGUUGUCCUUCUUCUACACGAUGUCUAAUGAAGUGAUACUUUCUGUCGAUAUGUCUUGAUCUACCAUGAUCCCUCGGUUCCUUGGUUAAGGCAACCGCGCCUUCGUUAUCACAGAAAAUCUCCAUUGGCUCCUUUAUGGCAGGUACAACUCCAAGAUCACCGAUGAAGUUCUUUAGCCAUAUUGCCUCCUUCGACGCUUCGCUCGCUGCAAUGUACUCUGAUUCGCACGUUGAAUCAGCUACGGUUUCCUGCUUGGAACUCUUCCAUGUCACUGCUCCUCCAUUUAGGGUAAAGACCCAGCCCGACUGCGAACGGUAGUUGUCCCUGUCGGUCUGAAAACUGGCGUCACUAUACCCUCGCACCUUCAAGUCAUCACUCCCUCCGAGGACUAAGAACCAUUCCUUCGUCCUCCGAAGGUACUUAAGGAUAUUCUUCACCGCAAUCCAAUGUGCUUUGCCAGGAUUCCCUUGAUAUCUGCUAACCAUGCUCAAAGCGAAGGCUACAUCAGGGCGAGUACAAGUCAUAGCGUACAUGAUUGAGCCAACUGCGGAAGCGUAUGGUACUCGGCUCAUUUCUGCUAUCUCAGCUUCGGUACUCGGACUUUGAGUCUUACUCAAUUUGGCAUUACUUUGUAUCGGUAGUUCUCCCUUCUUUGAGUUUUCCAUACUAAAACGUUUUAGUACCUUCUCUAAGUAAGUAUUCUGACUAAGUCCAAUUAGUCUCUUACUUCUUUCUCUUACUAUCCUUAUUCCCAAAAUGUAAGAAGCCUCUCCGAGGUCCUUCAUAGCGAAGCACUUCCCGAGCCAGGACUUAACCUCCUGCAGAGUCGGGAUGUCGUUUCCUAUGAGUAAUAUGUCAUCGACAUAUAGAACGAGGAAGCUUACUAUACUCCCACUGGCUUUGACAUAUACACAAGAUUCGUCUUCGCUUCGUACAAAUCCAAACUCUUUGACUUUCUCAUCGAAGCAAAGAUUCCAUCUGCGAGACGCUUGCUUAAGUCCAUAAAUGGACUUCUCAAGCUUACACACUCUAUUCGGAUGCUUCGGAUCCACAAACCCCUCUGGCUGAGCCAUGUAAACAUCCUCAGCCAACUUUCCGUUAAGGAAAGCGGUCUUGACAUCCAUUUGCCAAAUCUCAUAAUCAUGAAAUGCGGCAAUAGCUAGCAUCACUCUAAUAGAUUUAAUCUUCGCAACUGGUGAGAAGGUCUCAUCAUAGUCAACUCCGGGAGUUUGAGUAAAGCCCUUCGCAACCAAUCGCGCUUUAUAUGUGUGUACGUUUCCAUCCACGUCGGUCUUCUUCUUGAAGAUCCAUUUGCACCCAACGGUCUUACGUCCGGGCACAUAAUCAACCAAAUUCCAAACUUGGUUAUCAUACAUGGAUUGGAUCUCGCUAUCCAUUGCCUCUUUCCAUUUUGCAGACUCCGGGCCUGCCAUGGCUUCCUUAUAGCUAUUAGGUUCAUCAAGAUUUACUAGUGUACCAUCACUAAUAUACGUGUCCCCUUCGGUAGUAAUAUGAAAACCAUAAAACUGGGGAUGAACUCUAACUCUAUCGGAACGUCUAAGAGGUAAGGAUUCGUCAAUCGGUUCAACCGGAGUUUCCUCCUCGGGUUGAGUGCCAGCGGUAGAGGUUCCUUCAUCUAUCGACUCUUGAAUCUCUUCAAGUUCGAUUUGCCUCCCACUGUCUCCUUGGCUUAUGAGUUCUCGCUCUCGGAAAACUCCUCUCCUCGCAACGAAGACAACAUUGUCCUUCGGUCUAUAGAAGAGAUAUCCAAAGGAUGUCUGCGGGUAGCCGAUGAAAAUACAUCGCUCACUUCGAGGUUCAAGCUUGUCGUGAGUAUCUCGUCUUACGAAAGCCUCGCAACCCCAAACCUUGAUAUGUGCCAACGAGGGAGCUUUCCCUGUCCACAUCUCGUGAGGUGUUUUGGCAACCUUCUUAGUAGGGACUCGGUUAAGGAUAUGGGCGGCAGUCUCUAAGGCAUACCCCCAAAAAGAGAUAGGUAGUGAAGCACGACUCAUCAUAGAGCGAACCAUAUCCAAUAAGGUUCGAUUACGCCUUUCUGCCACACCAUUCAACUGCGGUGUCCUAGGAGGCGUCAAUUGUGAAACUAUUCCACACUCCUUGAGAUAAUCGUGGAAUUCAAGACUUAGGUACUCUCCUCCUCGAUCGGAUCGAAGCAUCUUGAUUUUCCUGCCCAAUUGAUUCUCCACUUCAUUCUUGAACUCUUUGAACUUUUCAAAGGUUUCUGACUUUUGCUUGAUUAAAUAGAUAUACCCAUAUCUACUAUAAUCAUCGGUAAAAGUCACGUAGAAGCGGUUCCCAUCCUUCGUGGUUGAUCUAAACGGUCCACAUACAUCGGUAUGUAUUAAGUCCAAUAGACCCUCACCCCUUUCACAUGUACUCGUGAAGGGUGACUUAGUCAUCUUUCCAAGUAAACAAGACUCGCAUGUGUCAUCUUCCCUAAGGUCGAAUGACUCCAACACUCCAUCCUUUUGGAGUUGGGCUAUGCGUUUCUUGUUGACAUGUCCAAGACGACAAUGCCACAAGGAUGCUUUAUCCAUACUAGUGGAAGAAUCUAUAUUCAAAACAUCAUUUCCUAAGUUAUCAACAAUCAUAACAGUUUCAUAAAUUCCAUUACAUGGUAUAGCUUCAAAAUAAAAGACACCAUUUAGAUAAGCCAAAAUAGAACCAUUCUCAUUAUUAAAAGAAAAUCUAAAACCUUGUCUAAAUAAACCAUGAAAUGAAAUGAUGUUUCUAGCCAUUUCUGGCGAAUAGCAACAAUUGUUCAAAUCUAAACAUAAAUUAUUCCUAAGCACUAAAGAAUACACUCCAAUCUUGGUCACAGGCGACGAUCUUCUGUUCCCCAUGAUUAGAUUGAUUCUUCCUUGCUCCACAUCCCUAUUUCUUCUUAGUCCCUGCACAUUAGAACAAAUGUGGUAACCACAACCGGUAUCAAGAACCCAAGAAAUAGCAUGAGAAGAAUCGUUAGAUUUAAUUGUGUAUAUACCUGCGAAAGACGGCUUGAUCUUUCCUUCCUUGAUGGCUUGCAGGUACUCUGGGCAGCUUCUCUUCCAAUGUCCUAUCUUGUGGCAGUGGUGGCACUCUGCCUCCUUUGGGUUAGGGCAGGGCUUAGCAGGAUCAACUUUGGUCCCACUAGAAGAGGCACCAUCUCGGGCUUUAACCUUGCGAUAGUUCUUAGACGAAGCCUUCCUCUUCUUUCCCUUUCCUUGACCAAUAGCCAAGACAGGAGCAGCAGGUGGAUUGGGAGUUGGUGAAACAAACUUGUCCUUGAAGUUGCUCUCAGCGACCCUCAAGAGACCUUGGAGUUUGCUUAGGGUGACCUCCUCUUUGUUCAUGUGGUAGGUCAUCCUAAAUUGAUUGUACAUCGGAGGCAAAGAGUGAAGCACCAUGUCGAUCGCCAAGUCUUCCCCAAAGUCAACAUUCAACUUGCGAAGGCGGUCGACAUACCUUUGCAUCUUUUGCAGGUGCACGGUACGAGACUCUCCAUGACCCAUCUUAGCAGAAAUCAUGUUAGUGAAAAUCUCAUAACGCUCUUGUCUCGCGUUCUGGUGGUAUCUCUCCAAUAAGUCUUGAUGCAUCUCGUACGGGUACAUGUCCUCGUAGGACUUUUGGAAUUCGGAGUUCAUAGUGGCUAUCAUGAUGCAAUGUACCUUCGUUGCAUCUCGCUCAUGAGUUUCAAAAGCGGUCAUUUCAGCCGGAGUAGCGAUUUCAGGGUUGAUUUUCUCGAGCUUCUCAUCGAGGACAUACUCCUUAUCCUCAUAGCGAGCAAUGGUGCGAAUGUAUCUUAUCCAUUCGCUAAAGUUCGUCCCAUCGAAAGUGACCUUUUGACAAAGGCUCAUCAAUGUGAAUGAACUAGCAGCAACGUUGUUUGCGUUCGACAUCUACAAAUAGAAAGGACAAAGAUAGAUUAGAAUAUGAAUCCCUAAUUAUCACCCAAUAAGAAAAAUUAGGUCUAGG